AAGCUGUCAUAUUGUAUAUUUCUGAGAAAAUUAUUUACACAUAAUGUUGAAUGUUUAGGAUGGCGUCAUAUCAUUCUGUGGCACACAGGGUCAUUCAGAAGCCAGCCUUUCUGAUAGAGCUUUCUGGUUCCUCUCCUGACAGUGUCUCCUGUAACAACAGUUCCCCCUCCCCAUAAAAAAGUCUGUUUUGUUUUAGAUUUCGUGGAAAUGUUGAGUAGCCGCAGAGGGAACUCCCACACCUACCGUCCCUCUGCAGCAGCAGCAGCAGCUUCUGGCAGAUUUUCAUCUGCUUCCCUUUUUUAAGUGCAGUAUUUUAAGAGCAGAUUCCAGACAUUAUAUCAUUGUUCUCAUAAUACUUGAGUGUGUUCUACCAAAGGAAAAGCAGGCUUAGCCACGGCUGUGAUGAUCCCCCCUGCACUGGAAUAGGUGCCUAGUUUUUGGUUUUUUUGUUUUGUUUUGCUUUCAUUUUUAUUUCUGUACUUUUCCAAGACAGGGUUUCUCUGUUUAGCCCUGGCUGUCCCAGAGCUCCCUUGUAUACCAGGCUGGCCUCAAACUUACAGAAAUCCUCCUGUCUUUGCCUCUGCCCUCUGCCCUCCGCACCCCCGAGUGCCGAGAUUGAAGGUGUGGACUACCAUUGCCUGCUCAGUAUUUUCUGUUCUGAUGAUUCUCUAGCACCGAAAUGAAUCUACACUGUCACCUUUUAUGAUAAGCCAUUGAAAUGGGUUCCUACUAUCAUCCAAUAACUCCACAGAUACUAAAAUGGGGUCAAAUUAUUAUCUACUGUUUUCUUCCAUCUUCAAACAUUUCCAGUUGCUCGAACUGUCUUUUAAUGACUUUUUUCAAAAUAAUCACAGAAAAUAUUCCUCGGUGCUUAAACUUUUAUCAUUUGAAUUUUUGUUUUUUUCAGAGCUGAUUGUCAAACUGAUUAAAAUAUGCUUUUAUUUAUAUAAAAUUGCUAAUUUGCUUUUGUCAUUGCUUAUUUGAAUGAUUGUUUUAAAGCAAAAAGCUUGAAUAAGCAAUAAUGAUGUUCAUUUUUAACCAGUAGUUUUAUAUCUAUACUUUAGACGGCUGGUAUUUAAUGUUCUUUUUGUACGAACAUAAGUUUAAAAUCUUAUUUAAAUCAACAGAUUUUAUAUAAACAAGAUGAUAAUUCAUUGACUUGUUUCUUGGUAUAUUUGUUAACUUAUUUUUAUCUUACACUUACAGAUUGAAAAAUCACAAUUUUGGAACUUUUUCUAGAAAAAAUGAUUACUAUGUCAUUGCCAAGAGUUAUCUUUGUUUAAGUGUAAACACUUAAUUUAAUUUUUAGAAAUAUAUUUCUUUAUUCUUAAAGGGAUACUUCUGUAAGGCUCCAGAUGUAGCCACAACUGCUAUGAUCAGAAUUAACAGCAAGCUCCCAGAAAGACAGGUGUUAGUGCUAUGAAACUGUAUUCACACCCUCUGCAAAUGACACUGCCUCUUUAAUUGUUGAAUGUUUAGGAUGGCGUCAUAGCAUUGUGUGGCACACAGGGUCAUUCAGAAGGCAGCCUUUCUGAUAGAGCUUUCUGGUUCCUCUCCUGACAGUGUCUCCUGUAACGACAGCCCCCUCCCCAUGCACCUGCCCCUUCUGCCCCUUGGCGCCUUGUUCUUGUCUUCCAGCUGUUCUGUACACUUAAAGUGCUGUUGCUAAAUUUGUAAAUAAAAUUGCAGAAGGCAUCCAGGCAUGGCGCCACAUAUCUCUAAUCUCGGGGCUUGGGAGGUAGAGGGAGGGGCAUCAGGAGCUCAGCACACCUGUGCAUAUGUGUGCACAUACACACACACACACACACACACACACACACACACACACAUGACAGGGUUAUGUAUGAAUUUCCCAUAAACAGUGACUCUGACUUGGCUCAAUGGUUAUCUUUAAAGCCCUUGGCUUUCUUCCCACCAUUCCUGUAAAAACGGUAUAUGAACUGCAUGGACUAUCACGUAAGCUCUGCGUCCAUCAACCCCAGGUCUUUCCAUUUCAGGUAAGUUACGUGAUGUCCUGAGGUUAUACCGUUAGUUAUGUGAGACCAGACCACAGAUGGCGAGCAGAUGCAGGUUGGAGUGGACCCUCUUCUUUCUCAUUGCUUAGUAACUUGCCAGCCACAACUCCCAACUCGUCUCCUAAGAACCCAUUGACAAACCCUGUUAAACAACAACUAAGUAGCUGAGAUCCGCGGUAGCAACGCAGAAAAUACUCUUUAGAAAGAUAGGUGGGAACAGGAAUCCCCCGACCCUGCGUGACAAGCCCCAACCCUGCUGUUCACCAGAAGAAAACACUUUUGUCCUAGCUCCUUUUGGUUAAUUGACCUGUGUCACAUUUGAAAAGCAUAGCCUGCCAUUAUCAGCCUAGUGACUAAUAGUUAUUUGCGCAGUACUCCAUGGUUAUUGUUACUUUGAUUUUCCUGGAAGCUUUUCAGGAAGCUUGUCAGCCCACGUCGAGGCCCUGGCAGGAAGCACAGGAAGUAGACGUGGAUAAUCAUGCCAUCACUGACUAAUGACUCCCACUGGGGAUUUUACACCUCAGUCAAUUAUUACCUAAUUACAACCAGCAAAAAUACAUACUGUGUUCAUGCCAUGCAAGAAGGUACUGAGUUACUGCAGGACAAAGAUGUAAACAGUGUGUCUCUACCCACCAGUAACUUACAGUUGGCGAAGCAAACUAGUCAUGUGCAAGGGAAGCCCUGGAAGCUCCAGCACAAAACUGCACGAGCUUCCACUGGUUAGCCGUGUGCACAGUAGUGCUCGGACUCAACGCCCCAAACUUAGUGAAUUAAAACAAGACUUGUGUGUCCCCUUCAUUCUCAUGCAGGCUAGCUAUAGGUCAGCUGAUCUAGGCUGGACCUGGCAGGUCUAUAGGAGGCUGGGUUCAGGUUUCUGUCAUAUGAGUGGCAUGUGCCUGGGAUCAAGUGAGUGUGUGUUCUCUCAUAAUGGUACAGAAAUGCAGGACAGACAAACACAACUGCUGUGUUCCCCACGGCCUGAACUGAACACAGAACAGCUGCUGCCUGGUGGCAGAUACCUAGGUUCAGUGAUUAGAUCAAUUUAAACUGUCAAGGGCAAUGGCUGCAUGGUAAGAAUGAUCCUCAGACGCUGAAAUUCCAACUGAUGAUGGUCAUGGACACAGAGCGAGACGCUAGUGAUAUCACCAGACCUCCAAGUGUUGGGAGGUGUAAUAUAGACAUUCAUCCUUUCUGAUGGGACAAUCUGGUAGCUUGUGGGGAACAUGGGAUUUGAGAUAACCUUGAAUGACCAAAAUAAAACAAGCUGAGGUUUUGUUUCCAUUAGAGCAAAUGGUACUUUCAUGAGGUAAUGGAAGGUCCCCUUAGGGUUUGAGUGACUGAGGGCCUCAAACUAGGGAUCUUUGGAAGAUGAAAGCAAAGGCCAGGAAGGACCAUGCUAGCAGUUUGAGAGUUUGUCCAAUGCUUUGACACUAUCAUAGAAAAUGUACAUACACACAAAACCCCACUGGCAAAUGAGAGGAAACAGUUUGUGAACACCUUUGUAUGCUACACUCAGGGUUAGACUUCAUUUCUUUGGUAAUAUAGAGUCAUCGAAGACUUCUGGCUUAGAAAUGAUGAAAAUGGAGUCUUAGCACUGUCUCAGAAGAGACAGCUUGAAGGGUUAAGAGGUAAAACAUUAGGAAGCAAAAAGGUGUCUAGGCAACCAUUAGCUAUUGCAGUAGGAAGGCCUCACUGAAAAAAGGACCACAGGAAGCAGGGAAAAUGUAAAAGACAGUUCAGGUUAGC
rnacentral:lncRNA from 1 species